rnacentral:rRNA from 1 species
GGGGUACUCGAGCGGCGAACGGGUGAGUAACACGUGAGUAACCUGCCCUUAGCACCGGGAUAGCUCCGGGAAACCGGAAUUAAUACCGGAUAUGACCACGAUCGGCAUCGGCCGUGGUGGAAAGGAUUCCGGCUAGGGAUGGACUCGCGGCCUAUCAGCUAGUUGGUUGGGGUAACGGCCCACCAAGGCGACGACGGGUAGCCGGCCUGAGAGGGCGCACGGACACACUGGAACUGAAACACGGUCCAG